AGAGUUUGAUUAUGGCUCAGGAUGAACGCUAGCUACAGGCUAACACAUGCAAGUCGAGGGGCAGCAGGACGAUAGCUUGCUAUUGUUGCUGGCGACCGGCGCACGGGUGAGUAACGCGUAUCCAACCUUCCCCUUAGUAGGGCAUAGCCCGGUGAAAAUCGGAUUAAUACCCUAUGUUGUGUCAUGAGGACAUCUGAAUAACACUAAAGAUUUAUCGCUAAGGGAUGGGGAUGCGUCCGAUUAGGUAGUCGGCGGGGUAACGGCCCACCGAGCCCUCGAUCGGUAGGGGUUCUGAGAGGAAGGUCCCCCACACUGGUACUGAGACACGGACCAGACUCCUACGGGAGGCAGCAGUGAGGAAUAUUGGUCAAUGGGCGUAAGCCUGAACCAGCCAAGUAAGCGUGCAGGAUGACGGCCCUAUGGGUUGUAAACUGCUUUUAUACGGGGAUAAAGUGAGGGACGUGUCCCUUAUUGUAGGUACCGUAUGAAUAAGGACCGGCUAAUUCCGUGCCAGCCGCUGC
rnacentral:rRNA from 1 species